rfam:Glossina pallidipes unplaced genomic scaffold Scaffold27, whole genome shotgun sequence.
GGGGGGUUUAGUACGUAAGCGCCAUGGAUGGCGAAUCGUGCAUGCUGCUAUUAAGAAUCAGCAGUAUCUUUUGAAGAUUUUCUACC